UUUUUUUUUGAGACAGGAUUUCUCUGCAUAGUUUUGGUGCCUGUUCUGGAUCUUGCUCUGUAGACCAGACCGGCCUCAAACUCACAGAGAUCUGCCUGGCUCUGUCUCCCGAGUGCUGGGAUUAAAGGCAUGUACCACCACUGCCUGGCUGGAUUUUUUUUUUUAAUUGAGUUUUUUCUUAAGUCUAUUUAGUAAUUUGUCCCAAGUUUAUUUUUCAAUUCUCCCUUUGAGUAUAUUCCCCCCCCCUUUUUUUUAAAUGGGAAAAAUGGAGUAACUUAGCAGUUUCAAUAUUGAAGACUGAAGUUAAAAAAAAUACUUAAAUUCAAAGCACUUUUUAAGAAUUUGCUGUAGAAGCUGGUCAGGUGUUUUGAAUGUCAAGGCUGCUCUGUCCUGAUGGCUCUUUGUUUAUUCUUGUGCAAGGCAGGACUUAGAAGGCUAGAACAGUGACAAGGCUGAGCACACGAGAGUCACGUGGUUACCACUCACCUUCCUUUACAAGGCAGUGAACUCUUAAACCUCUUAGGAAAAUGGGACUUCGAUGGAAUGACUCCAGUACAAGUCUGUUAGGUCAGUUUGUCUUGAAGUAACAGAUUGCAGGGACUACUGACUUUAUACAACUUUGACUCCUACUAAGUCUUUCAGAUUUUAAAAAAUUCAAUGUUGAAAUUUCUAUGAGGCUCUAUUUUUGCUGUGGUUUUCUGUUGUCGAGAAUGAGGAAUCACACUGUGUCUGUUAAGUUAAAGUCUUCUCCCCGAUGCAUAGAUUUUAAGAGGCCAAGAGAAUUUACAAACUAAAGACUGACUUAAAUCAUCCAGUGGAAAAUGAGGCUUAGAUGAUUUAGCUCUGUCUUUUUAAAAGUAGAGACAAGUAAAUUGACAUUUCUUCUGAAAGGAAUAUGUGAAAUGUGCCAGAGCAAGUACCAUGUCGGGCAAGGCUGCACAGAGAAACCCUGUCUCGGAAAAAGAAAAACACCAAGAAACAAAACAAAAUAAGUGAAAUGCAUAUUGUUCAUCUGGGAAGAGGGGAGAGAGAGAGAGAGAGAGAGAGAGAGAGAGAGAGAGAGAGAGAGAGAGAGAGAGAAUAUGUGUGUGUCUGUCUCUGUGUGUGAGACUAAAUCAGCAGUGUGUGCUCCAGCCAUGGUUGGACUUGACAAACAUUAACAUGAUUAGCACCAGAGAGAAACAAGCAAAAUAAGUAUUUUCUUUGAGGUAGUAUCUGCUGCUUGAACUAUUGUGUGUAAAACUUUGGAGUUUAGGAAUUGCCUUAUGGCAUCUGAAUUUCUUGGUCUAAAGUGAGAUCUGAAUUUCUGUUAAACAUUUUUAUAAAAAGUAUCUAAGCCAUAUAAUCAGGACUGAUGUGUGUUGUGUGAGUCAUAUCUAAAACUAAAUUAUAAACACUGGCCUGUUGUAAUUACAGUUAAUCUACUAUUAGGAAAGCUGUUAGGUAUAUUUUUAAAUAAAUUACAGCAAAGCACUAGCUAUCCUGCUGAUCCCAGCGAGCUAACAUUCAUCUUCUGAACAUCAUAUCUGGUACCUGCUGAAGAGCCUGUAAGGUUCUGGGUAGUUUCCAUUUAAUUAUUGGUCAAAGAAGCAUUUAUUUUCCUAUUGUAAGUGCGAAGUGUUUUUGAUUGUUAAUAAAAUCUGUCAAAUAUCAA